UGCUGUUUCAUAAUAUGGUAAUAGUGAACACAACCAUAAGCCUAACGUUCUCUACAAAGCCAAGAAAGAACUAAGCGAUGCUCAGGCCACAGACGGUUGCAGAGUU